UACAUCUCCAAAGAAACAAUCGAAAAGGGAGAAAGAGAAGAGGAAGAGAAAGGAAAAGAGAGAAAAGUAAUGGUAUCUCCUCGCCCUUUGAGCCCUUUCCCCCCUUCUGGUAAUUUGGGAGAAGAAUCUUCUUCUUCUUCUUCUCUCU
rnacentral:ribozyme from 13 species